AGGUGAACCUGCGGAAGGAUCAUUACCGAGUGAGGGCCCUCUGGGUCCAACCUCCCACCCGUGUCUAUCGUACCUUGUUGCUUCGGCGGGCCCGCCGUUUCGACGGCCGCCGGGGAGGCCUCGCGCCCCCGGGCCCGCGCCCGCCGAAGACCCCAACAUGAACGCUGUUCUGAAAGUAUGCAGUCUGAGUUGAUUAUCAUAAUCAGUUAAAACUUUCAACAACGGAUCUCUUGGUUCCGGCAUCGAUGAAGAACGCAGCGAAAUGCGAUAAGUAAUGUGAAUUGCAGAAUUCAGUGAAUCAUCGAGUCUUUGAACGCACAUUGCGCCCCCUGGUAUUCCGGGGGGCAUGCCUGUCCGAGCGUCAUUGCUGCCCUCAAGCACGGCUUGUGUGUUGGGCCCCGUCCCCUCCCCCGGGGACGGGCCCGAAAGGCAGCGGCGGCACCGCGUCCGGUCCUCGAGCGUAUGGGGCUUUGUCACCCGCUCUGUAGGCCCGGCCGGCGCCAGCCGACACCCAACUUUAUUUUCUAAGGUUGACCUCGGAUCAGGUAGGGAUACCCGCUGAACUUAAGCAUAUCAAUAAGCGGAGGAAAAGAAACCAACAGGGAUUGCCUCAGUAACUG
rnacentral:rRNA from 1 species